CCUACGGGAGACUGCAGUGGGGAAUAUUGCACAAUGGGGGAAACCCUGAUGCAGCGACGCCGCGUGAGUGAAGAAGUAAUUCGUUAUGUAAAGCUCUAUCAGCAGGGAAGAAAAUGACGGUACCUGAGUAAGAAGCCCCGGCUAACUACGUGACAGCAGCCGCGGUAAUACGUAGGGGGCAAGCGUUAUCCGGAAUUACUGGGUGUAAAGGGAGCGUAGACGGCAAUGCAAGUCCGGAGUGGAAUGCGGCCGCUCAACUGCCGAACUGCUCUGGAAACUGUAUGGCUUGAGUGCAGGAGGGGUAAGCGGCAUUCCUGGUGUAGCUGUGAUAUGCGUAGAUAUCAGGAGGAACCCCGGUGGCGAAGGCGGCUUACUGGACUGUACCUGACGUUGCGGCUCGAACGCGUGGGGAGCAAACAGGAUUAGAUACCCCAGUAGUC
rnacentral:rRNA from 1 species